rnacentral:lncRNA from 1 species
AUGAGUUGAGACACCUCAUUCAUGUUCAAAAGAAGUUCAUUUGUCAUUACAAACACCUAUCUUGAAGAAGUUGAAGUCAAAUCAAAAGUUUCCAAAAAUGGAAAGUGACCUGUAAUUGAAAGUUUCCAAAAAUGGCAAGUUUUUGGUUCAUAUUCAACUUGACUUUCCAACAUCAAAGGAGCUUCAAAUGAAUUUUUUGUGAAUAUGAAAGUUGAAGAUAUUUAUCUACUCUUUCCAAAAAG